rnacentral:rRNA from 1 species
CACGUAGGGGGCAAGCGUUGUCCGGAUUUAUUGGGCGUAAAGAGCUCGUAGGCGGCUCAGUAAGUCGGGUGUGAAACCUCCAGGCUCAACCUGGAGACGCCACCUGAUACUGCUGUGGCUAGAGUCCGGUAGGGGAGCGUGGAAUUCCUGGUGUAGCGGUGAAAUGCGCAGAUAUCAGGAGGAACACCGGCGGCGAAGGCGGCGCUCUGGGCCGGAACUGACGCUGAGGAGCGAAAGCGUGGGUAGCAAACAGG